UACGUAGGGUGCAAGCGUUAAUCGGAAUUACUGGGCGUAAAGCGUGCGCAGGCGGCUAUGCAAAGACAGAUGUGAAAUCCCCCGGGCUCAACCUGGGAACUGCAUUUGUGACUGCAUGGCUAGAGUGCGGCAGAGGGGGAUGGAAUUCCGCGUGUAGCAGUGAAAUGCGUAGAUAUGCGGAGGAACACCGAAUGGCGAAGGCAAUCCCCUGGGCCUGCACUGACGCUCAUGCACGAAAGCGUGGGGAGCAAACAGG
rnacentral:rRNA from 1 species